rnacentral:rRNA from 1 species
UACGGGGGGGGGCAAGCGUUGUUCGGAAUUACUGGGCGUAAAGGGCGCGUAGGCGGUCUUGUCAGUCCCUUGUGAAAUCCCCCGGCUCAACUGGGGAACUGCACGGGAAACAGCAGGGCUUGAGUUCGGGAGAGGGAAGCGGAAUUCCGGGUGUAGCGGUGAAAUGCGUAGAUAUCUGGAGGAACACCGGUGGCGAAGGCGGCGAUCCCUGGACCGGCAUUGACGCUGAAGUAGCGAAAGC